GACGAACGCUGGCGGCGUGCUUAACACAUGCAAGUCGAACGGAAAGGCCUGCUUUCCCUUGUGGAUUGCGGGUACUCGAGUGGCGAACGGGUGAGUAACACGUGAGUGAUCUGCCCCCAACUUGGGUAUAAGCCUGGGAAACUGGGUCUAAUUCCCGAUAGGACUGCAGGGUGGUGCCUGUGGUGGAAAACGAUUUUCUAGUGGUUGGGGAUGAGCUCGCGGCCUAUCAGCUUGUUGGUGGGGUAAUGGCCUACCAAGGCGGCGACGGGUAGCCGGCCUGAGAGGGUGGACGGCCACAUUGGGACUGAGAUACGGCCCAGACUCCUACGGGAGGCAGCAGUGGGGAAUAUUGCACAAUGGGCGGAAGCCUGAUGUAGCGACGCCGCGUGGGGGAUGACGGCCUUCGGGUUGUAAACUCCUUUCGACCGCGAGGAAGCCACCUGGUUGGAAGGGUGGUGACGGUAGUGGUAGAAGAAGCACCGGCUAACUACGUG
rnacentral:rRNA from 1 species